CACAACUAAGUAAUGGGUCUGGAUCCACAAUGGGGGGCAAGGUGUUGAUGACGGGCCCCGCGUGCAGGUGAAUCACAAAGAAGACCUGCCAUGUGAAGGCAAAGGAAGAGAGAGAACAGUGGUGGGUUGCUACCGAUUCGCCCUGGAUUGGGCAAACCGGUAGUGGCGGGGGCGGGAGGCUCUGCCCUCCCGCUUCUGUGCAUGCAUCGAGCGAACCGGUAGUGACGGAUUUUGAAACCCGCCCCUGGGAGAGAGGACUGCUGCCUACAUGCUAAUGUCUCCAGGUUCUCUUUGACGAAAUCCUCACCUUGUAAUCAUGAAUGAUCCGCUCUGCAAAGGCUUUGUCCAGCAUCUUCUUGUACCACUCCUGCAGACGUUUAGGUUUGGGGAUUUUUUGGUCAGGGGGGUGACAAUGGAAGAUGUAAUCAUCACCCUCACUUGGUGGGCAGGCCCAGAUGUGGCCCGUCACAUACCUGUGAGUUUCACACAAGCAAGACAUCCCAGUUAAGUAAUAGUUUUGUCCAGAAUUGGAGGCAGCCAUCCUAACUGCUCAACUGCAGUAGAAAUAAUAUUUAGAUAACCAGCACUUACACUCAAUCAUUCAUUCAUACCUCCAUAUGCCUCUUGAAUCUAUAACCACUGUUGAUACAGUACCUUAAAAAAAAAAAAAGAGCUGACCCUGCUUGCACAAGCAGCAUUCCCCUGAAGUCUGUGAAGCCCUACCCAUGUUGCUCUCUGUGGAGGUCAUAAAGAUGGGAUCUGGGCCUGCAAAACUAGGACUGUCAAUCUAUACCAAUAUUAAAUUUGGGCAUUCA